rnacentral:tRNA from 1 species
GCCAGGGUGGUGGAACUGGUAUACACAGGAGACUUAAAAUUUCCCGGCUUCGGCCAUGCGGGUUCGAGUCCCGCCCCUGGCACCA